GAUGAACGCUGGCGGCGUGCUUAACACAUGCAAGUCGAACGAAGUGGCGCACGGGUGAGUAACGUGUAAUCAACCUCCCCUUCAGAGGGGGACAACAGUUGGAAACGACUGCUAAUACCGCAUACUGAAGGUGGGGAUUGCGUCUGAUUAGCUAGUUGGAGGGGUAACGGCCCACCAAGGCGAUGAUCAGUAGCCGGUCGGAGAGGAUGAGCGGCCACAUUGGGACUGAGACACGGCCCAGACUCCUACGGGAGGCAGCAGUGGGGAAUCUUCCGCAAUGGGCGCAAGCCUGACGGAGCAACGCCGCGUGAGUGAAGAAGGUUUUCGGAUCGUAAAGCUCUGUUAUAAGGGAAGCGGUAUCUUACCAGAAAGCCACGGCUAACUACGUGCCAGCAGCCGCGGUAAUAC
rnacentral:rRNA from 1 species